GGUCUUUACACUGUUGAAAAAUACUGGAAAGCCAUUGGCUUCAGUGGCUUUGUGGUAUAUAAAUUCGCUUUGAAGAGGUGUUCUGAGCAAGCACCAUCACCUUGGCUUGACGAAUUACAGGUUUGACACUUUUGUUGUUUUUCUCGUUGAGGCGGGAUUGUCUUGGUAUCGCACAAUUUUAGAAACAUGUCCACGAUCAUUCUAGGAUCAAAAAGCUGCCUAGGCAAUUCUUCUUUUCAUUGCCCAUAGUUCCAACAGGGUGUCCCAAAGAAAUGCAAUAGCUGUGUUCCAGAUCGAAAAUUCAAUCUGAGUGAUGAAAUUUGAAGCUAAGAUUAUUGUGACUGUUUAGAAGUCUGGUUAACUCAUUGGAUCUUUGAACAGCGAUAACAUUGGUUCCAGCGAUAACAUAAGUUAAAAUAUAGAGAUUCAGAUUUGACUUCCACUAUCGCUACCAUUAAGGUAUAAUCAACCAAUCAAAUGUGUUUGAUAUAUCCGAUUAAGGUUACAAAACACCUUUGAGUGUUAAUUUUGCCUAAAAUUUUUUUAUUGGUUUUCAUGAAAGCAUUAGACUAGUUCUACUAUCUGACCAAGUUUGGACGAAAAAUGUUGAAAACUCACAGAGUUAUUGAAUAAAAUACAUUUCGCUGCAAUAAGAAAAACAUUGAAAAUGUAAUAUUCAAAUUCAAUUUUCUCCCGAAGAAUUUUACGGCAAUUACUGAUUUUUAAACGAGUUGUGCUCCUGCGGGUUUUAACGAAUUUUUCUCAAAUUUUCACAGGACAUGGCUAAAGACGUCAGUUUCAAAAUUGUGUUCGGCUUUGUUCUAAUGUUUGAUAUUUUAAUAAUAAGGAGCAAUUCACACAAACGAUUCAGAAAUAUAUCGCAGUCGUCAAAGAAAUCGCCAUAUCAGCGGAAUGACGAAAUAAACAAAAAUUUCCGAACACAGUUUUUCAGAACAACUAUUUUCCUGUAUAAAAAUGAUAUUUUCCUAAAUAUAUCUUAAAACCAGCAGGAACAGAACUCGAAAGCAUAAAGGUACCGCGACUUAAGAUUUUCCUGAAUAAUUCUUACAUUUUAUUGUUUGUCAAUUUUACAACUUUGUCAUAUUUUGCAUUUUUCAGCGAUUUUCCACAAAACGCCAAAAAGGGUGUCCUGUAACCUUAACCAAUCUGAUUCGUUUGAUAUAUCCGAUCAACCAAUCAGAUGCGUACUAAGCCAGUGAGAGGUAGUGGUAGCGGAAGUCGAAUCUGAACCUCUAUAAUAUCGGUCGGAGAACCGUCUGACAAAAUGUUCGAUAACUUUGGAUCGGAUUGAUUGGUUGAUUAUGCCUUAAUGGCAGCGAUAGUGGAAGUCAAAUCUGAAUCUCUAUAUUUUAACUUAUGUUAUCGCUAGAACCAAUGUUAUCGCUGUUCAAAGAUCCAAUGAGUUAACCAGACUUUGGGGUACAGUAAUUCCGAUGACUUUGAGAUCAGUUUGACUUGGAAAUAAGUAUGAAUGCAGACACAAAUUAAUAUCAGCACAAUUUGGAAAAGUUAUUUGAAUCUUGGCGAUAAAUUUCCGAGCCCCGCACAUUUUCAGUUAUAUAUUACUCUGAUUCUCCAUUUAACAUACAAGCCUCUAGUCCUGGACUACGGUACAUUUUGAUUUACGUUGGACAAAGUUACAGUUAACUUGGACACCAAUUCACCCGGGUUGGACAAACAGUAAACCUCAGUUUCACUUAGGUCCGACAGAAUGUCCAGUGGUUUCCUCUCUACGUCGGACAAUUUCACGAAUGGAUCAGACAAUGUCCGUGACCGACCGAAAUUUUGAGGCCUGGUUCUACUACACCAAUUUUAAUAUUCUUAUUUCGAUGCCCACUAAUAAUUAAAGAGACAGUUCAGCCUUUUGAAUGAUGGUUUUAAGGCGCAUUACAACCCUUUUAAUUAAUUGAAAAAACUAACUAGGAAAAUCAAUUAAGCAUAAUUCAAGAUUAGUGAUUUCAAUGUUUUUAACAUUUUUAAACAUUUCUAAUGUUAAAAACAUUGAGUUUACUGAUCUUGGAUUAUGCUUAAUUGAUUUUCCUAGUUAUAGUUUUUUCAAUUAGCCUUUCUCACGCCGCCAUUUUUGGGGUACUGUAAUUUUUUGUAAACGAUUAUAACAAUGUGAAAAGCAAUAUUUCAGAACAAACUAUUUACAGAGUAAAUUUACUAUCAUAUACCAACAAAAUUAUAAAAUGUCGCCAUUACGUGGUGUGACGCUCGCAGGAUUGGCAAAAAAGUACCCCAAAAAUGGCGGCGUGAGUAAGGCUAAUUAAAGGGUUGCAAUGCGCCGUAAAAACCAUCAUUCAAAAGGCCGAACUGUGCCUUUAAAGGGAUACGGCAAUAUAUUUUUUUAUUAUUUCAUUUUAAAGAACUUUUAAAAUUAUAUGUUAAUCUCCUUUACCGAUUUUGCGUAACUUUAUUAUUUCUUGAAAAAUUUUGACUUAAAAUAAUUUGCUGUCCGCCAUCUUGGAUUAAUUUUUAUCUCAUCGGUGAUUUUAGUGACGUCAUAAGCAGGGUUAGCCAUAUAAAACUACAUCUAAAUGACCAAAUAACAUUAAGUCUUGUUUGAAAAGUCGUCAGACAGUUUUUUAUUUCAAAUAGUUACUGAAGUAUAUGAUUUUGGGCUCAUAAUAACCAAUUGCUCUAUGGAUAAAAUUCUUGCGUGACCCUGCUUAUGAUGUCACAUGCAUAUCCGCCAAAAUCCAAGAUGGCGAAAAGCUCGCUGAUUUGUGAUUUUUUCUGUUCAAAUAUCUCAAGAAAUAAUAAAGUUACGCAAAAUCGGUAAAAGAGAUUAACAUAUCAUUUUAAAAGUUCUUCCAAAUGAAAUAAGAAAAGAUAUAUUGACGUAUUCCUUUAACUGUGUAAAAAUCUGGAACACAGCUAUUGCAUUUUUUGGGACCUUGCGAUAAUCUGUGACGCGGUAUCUCAACGACAUGCACUCGAAACAAAGAAAUGAUGGCAUGAAAACUGAUAUACGCGACCUUCAUAGUUUUGGACGUCAAUGGCUGCCAUCUUUACUUCACUUUAAUACUCGUAGGUCGAAUGACUGAAGUUCUUACUAAUAGAGCUCAACGAAGUAUACAACCAGGAUUUUUAGCUGUAACUUUACUUUCUUCGCAGGAAAACUCCACAGGUAACGACGAAAACCCUACAAGCACAGACGAAAGUCCGGCAGGUACAGACGAAAACGACUCUUGUUAUGGGAGCGAGGAAAGAGAAAAUAGUGAGAAUUAAUUACAUAUAAGGACAUGCAGAAUUUUUUUUAUAUGCUUCAUUCUUCACUGUGCAUAUUUUUGUUUUGUUGAAAUAGUUUGUUCAUAUCUAAAUAUAUAUAUUUUACUGACCUUGUUGAAGGUAGUUGAUAUAAGUUCAAAGACAAAGUACAUUAUGAAAACAGGCCAUAUAUUUUAUACUUUUAAGUUGUUAAAUAGUUGAUAAACAGUUGUUAGCAGUCUAUCAAGGCAUGAUGGUCUGGAAACUGAACAGAAAUAAUUUUGUUUGCAUGUGCACGGUCACGGUGAUUGAGCUCAUUGCAAGGAAGUACAAGGAAGUAAUCGUAUUUUACCAGGCUAUGUUGUUAGAUACUAAUGUAUAUAUAGAUUUUUAAAUAGUUAUGUAAUAAAAUUCUCUGUCGAGUUUUUAAAGAAUAAUUUCUAUAAAAUUUUCUCAG